AAACGUUCGUAACUGCUCAGCUGAACCUGAAGCUUGAUGAAGAAGGCCGUCAAUAUUUCAACAAAAACUAACAGAAUAUGGAUCAGAUUCGGACAACGACUUCUUAAGACAUUCACACAACAGGCUAAACAAUUCAAAGAGGGAUCUCUGGAUGAUCGAGCAACAAGUCCAGCAUUAUGUGGGAAAGAUACUACAGGUGUACACAGAAAAGGCCAUGAUCAUGUACAAGACACGGUUGGAGUUCAUAAAAGAUUAAGCUGCCUCGUGCUAUACAGACGUGGAUAAAAACAAGCUGUCCAAUGAAUGGUGACUACUCAAGAGGAGCCAGAAAGUCAACUAAGGCCAGGGUAUUUUGGGAGUUGAUAUGGCCGGGGAAGGGGGGGAGGGGAGGGGGUUUCCAGGGCCCCCCCCCCUCCCUUGAGAUCUCGACCGCACAAUCGCGUCUUACAUUGGCACAUGGGUUGUCUAGGGCAUAAUUUACAAAAUUAAAUUGUAAAUUAUUUCACGCAAAUUGUUAUUAAGUGAUAAUACUAAUUUAUGCGUAAUUAGAAUACAAAAUCAUACUUUUUCCUCUAUUGCAUUGACUUUGUACACAAAAUCACUUUUUUGAGCAAUUUUUGGUAUGACAUGUACUUACAUAAUGUCACGUUAUUACAGAACCACGUACCGGGUGACACAAGAUUGGUCUCAAAAGAUGCACAAGACUAGAAAGAGGCAUGUUUUAAAAAAAUUGUGCGACAGCAUGGUCGCAAAAUUUUUGGAAGGGGGGGGUCAAAUUGGUCCAAUUUAACUGAGGGUUAAUAACUGGGAGGCUGUAAGCUGCCUUUUUACUUUCAAGUCUUGCACAUCUUUUGAGACCAAAUUUGUGAUGCCUGGGUACGCUGUUCCGAAAUUUUGCAACAUUUUUAUGUAUUAAUCCAACACAAAUACUGUUUCUUGCUAAAAAUUCACAAUUAGUAUACCAGUAAUAUACAUUUAUCAAGAUUAAAGUCAAAUUAUUUAAUUACAUUUAUAAUCAUAAAAACUUUGAUAAAGUAUAAAAAAAAAACAAAGAGUUGUAUGUAGGCCUGGGACUUUCGGGUUUAUUCUCUUCGGGUACCCGUGGUAAUUUUCGGGCGGGUACCCGAAAAUCAUGUCACUUGAAAUAUGACUGGUGGAAAAACCCCAUAGGUGACGUCAUCAAGCCAAUGCGAUGCAAGCCAAUUUAUGAAUGAAAAUAUAGUAAGCAUGCGCAUUGCAAGCCUCCCGUGCCCCACGCAGUAUUCAAUCGAAACAAUUAAGUUUCAAUACUCUGUCACCUCGUACCAAAAUCGACCUAGAAUUCCACUUUCCUAUAUUUCAUAUGAAUUAUAAAAGGUUUUCUCACCGAUACUGCACAGGUAAGCAAAUUUUUAUUACUUCUUGCUUUUCCGUCAAAAUCUUACGAAGUAGCGUCGAUAUUACAUCGUGUUCGUGAGUUUGUAUCGCUACGUGAACAAAGUCAAUUGAUUUCAGGGUUUCGGAGCGUCAAAUGCGCCAGCCAAUCACGAUCGUGUUCCCAUUUUCGGUUUAUGAUGAACUAAAAAUGGUAACAAGAACGUGAUUGGCUGGCGCUUCGUAGGUCGAUUUUGGUAUGAGGUGACAGAGUAUUGCAGACUUGUUUUGACGGAAUACUGAGUGGGGCUGAGGCUUGCAAUGCGCAUGAUUACUAUAUUUUCAUUCAUAAAUUGGUUUGCGUCGCAGUGGCUGGAUGACGUCACUGCGCUGCAAAAGAAACAUGGCGAUGAUUGAACGAUCUCGGUCACAUCAUCAUCACUUGAAAACUUGUAUAUUUAUGGAUAUUUAGAGGGUAAUUGGUGAAAUUCAAAAUGAGGCUUGUGUACUUUUGUGAUGAGUUACAAUCAUGUCUUACACUAUGCAAUACAAAUCAAAUACAUGUACAUUAUACUGGUGAGCAAUUUUCGGGUAUCGGGUAUUGAUUUUUCUACCCGGGUACCCAAGGCUUCCGGGCGGGACCCGGGUACUCGGGUUUUAGUCCCAGCCCUAGUUGUAUGAAAAUUUUCAAAAAUAAUGAAAGGUAAAAGAAAACAAGAUUACAAUGUCCAUUGCAAGGGGGCUAGUCUAUUCAGGAUAAUUGGGAUUUUAUUUAGUUUUUAAUUGACAUAACAUUAUGACAAGAUCCCUCCAUUUAGUGUAUAAACAGCACAUGGCCAUGAUUGAAAUUCAUAUAACAUUAAAGUAUGCAAACCAGACAUGUACAUGUAGGACUCACUGCUUGUCAAUUCUAUUGUCUGCCAGGGUCAAGUGACAUACAGUGCACAUGUAUAACGUGUGUGAAAGUACAUAAGAAAAUCAGCUUUUUAUUUUUGUACUGUAACAUUGUGUGAACUGGUGAUCACUUUGGAUAUGAUGCUCUUCAUAUUGGUUUAUUUUAUGUAUAUGAAUUUUUGGAUAAUCAUUAAGAAUUAAAGCUAUUUACUUAAUAUAUGGAAGCAUAAGCCCAUCAAAAAACAGAAUUAUGUCAUGUACAGCUAAUUCAUUUUGCGUGAUAUUACAAUUGUAAUUGUUUACUUGAGCAAGUAAUUUGAAUUCUCGCUACCCCAAAUAGCGAUUUCGCCGAGAUCCGGGAAAAUCCCUGUAACGUGCAUUGCAUUAUGGGAUAGCUUUUUCGGUAUUACAACUUCCUGUUCGGAAGUCCAACGCACUGUUUUGCCAUUUAGAUCAACAGUGCCGUCAUGCACAACAACACAACGUAGCUUUCGCUCGGAAAGUUCGUGAUCACAACCCUCUCUUUCACUAACAGUUUUACAGCCUUUUCUGCUAAAGUCACUAAUUCUGCCUGACGCUUUCCAUUGCACGGUAUUCAUCUUUCAGUUAAGAUUGUUUUAAGUUCCGAAACUGAUUUUUAUCCAUUUUGUGGUCGACGAAAAAUUGAACGAAAUGAAUGCUGAAUAUAUUUAGUGUCUAGUAGUUGAAUACGAUCGUGAUGUCAGGCCGGUCGCUAAAUGCAAAAUUUUAAGAUAUUCAUUAUUUGUUUGAUUUUUUUAUAACCAAAUAAAAACAUGAAUAAAAAUUAUUCUCACGUGAAAUAUAUUUUUUAUUUUUAUUUAUGAUUCAAAUGGAAUCAAAACUGACCAAAUGUAAUAAAAAGUAUUAUACUCUGUACAUAUUACGCUGAUUGGCAUCGAUUUCAGCGUGGUGGAAAACUCAGUAUCGCGAACCUCGCGCGAGCAUGACUCUAAACCGGAAGUGGUGAUGACGACCCGACGGAGUGAAAAUUAUCUCGUCUCGCGCAUUAUGAGAUUUUUGUUCCUAUUUGGGGUAGCGAGAAUUGCUGCAUGACCUAAACAAUAACAUGUUCCAAUUCGAAUAGUAACAUGACCUAAAGAAGAGUUACUCCACGUCGAUUGAGAGUGCUUAUGUUAAAUAAUUGAUGUUGCUACUUCAAAUAAUUGAGGUCAAUCAAAUUGGUCAAUUUUGAGCUAUAUGUCAUAAUUAAUUAGGUCAUAUACUAAUUGAAAUUACUAAAUGGCUCGAGUAGGUAUGAAUUCACGUUGCCACAUGACCUUAAUUAUUUUAUGUAGCAACAUCAAGUAUUGAACGUCAUUUAGUUAUCAAUUAUGACAUGUAGCAAAUCAAAUUACAUGCCGCAAUUUCGUGUUUAUGAUGGGCUCAUGCUUACAUUCAUAUAUAACCCUUCAAUACGUAGUUGGAGCAAUUCUUAGACAAGAAGACUGUAAAACAAUGAUAUGCCUAUUCAAUGUCAAAAAGGUUAAUGUCUCAAUAGAUUUGAUCUACGUUUUGGCAAAGUAAUCUUAUGUUCAUAUUUUUUCUAACCUAUGGUGAACAUUCUAAAUCAUGUGAAAUUCAUUCAAAAAUAUCUUUCAGUAUUUAUGGACUUAAGUGAAUUCUAAGCAAAAUGAAGUGAUUAUGAUUACGUUCAUGUACUUUAAGUUUAUAAUGGUGAUCAACACAUCAUAAUUUCAUCCCUUACUGUAUGUGCACCAUGCAUUAUCUGUACAUGCAGAAGUGGUUAUCCAUUGUUUCAUAACAUGGUUGAGUAAAGGAUGUUCUGCUUUUUGUAUUAAGCCAAUCGGGUGUUGACAAGAAGGGGAAAAUGCAAUUGCUCAGCUAUUACAGGUUUUUUUGCAACCAUAAUACUGGUUAAGCCUUGGUUACAUUCGCCGGCUCGUGGCCUUACGUCGAGUCAAAAUUAGCAGUUUUAAUCAUCCUUGUACCAGCUACUACCAGCUACACGUGGGUGGUUUGUACAGGAAUACCUAAAACUGCUGAUUUUGUCUCGCCGUAAGGCAACCGGUCAAGGAAUGUGACCAAGGUAUUAAUAAUAAUCGCUUAAUGUUGUGUUAGAGGGAAGGAUUCUGGGUCGAAUCUAGCUUUCUUUAUGUGAUCUCAAAAUGGCAGCAAUGUAUGAAUAGUGAAAGUAGUUCAUGUGGCAUCUCAAUGUUGGUGGAUAUAAAUCUUUGUACAUGUAUUAUCCUAAAGAUGAAAUGUUACUGCAUUAUUCUAGCAGUCAUUUAUGAUAUCAAAGAUGUUCUAUACUGUGCAUAGUACAACUCAUACAUAAUAAAGGUAUGUGAAUAUGCUUUUAA